rnacentral:misc_RNA from 1 species
UGGUUCUGGCAUCGAUGAAGAACGCAGCGAAAUGCGAUAAGUAAUGUGAAUUGCAGAAUUCAGUGAAUCAUCGAAUCUUUGAACGCACAUUGCGCCCAUUAGUAUUCUAGUGGGCAUGCCUGUUCGAGCGUCAUUUCAACCCUUAAGCCCCUGUUGCUUAGCGUUGGGAGCCUACAGCACUCGCUGUAGCUCCUUAAAAUUAGUGGCGGAGUCGGUUCACACUCUAGACGUAGUACUCUUUACCUCGCCUGUAGUGAGACCGGUCCCCUGCCAUAAAACCCCCCAAUUUUUAAAAGGUUGACCUCGGAUCAGGUAGGAAUACCCGCUGA